GAUGAACGCUGACAGAAUGCUUAACACAUGCAAGUCAACUUGAAUUUGGGUUUUUAACUUAGGUUUGGGUGGCGGACGGGUGAGUAACGCGUAAAGAACUUGCCUCACAGCUAGGGACAACAUUUGGAAACGAAUGCUAAUACCUAAUAUUAUGAUAAUAGGGCAUCCUAUAAUUAUGAAAGCUAUAAGCGCUGUGAGAGAGCUUUGCGUCCCAUUAGCUAGUUGGAGAGGUAACGGCUCACCAAGGCGAUGAUGGGUAGCCGGCCUGAGAGGGUGAUCGGCCACGAGGGGACUGAGACACGGCCCUUACUCCUACGGGAGGCAGCAGUGGGGAAUAUUGGACAAUGGACCGAGAGUCUGAUACAGCAAUUCUGUGUGAACGAUGAAGUUUUUCGGAAUGUAAAGUGCUUUCAGUUGGGAAGAAACAAAUGACGGUACCAACAGAAGAAGUGGCGGCUAAAUACGUG
rnacentral:rRNA from 1 species